GACGAACGCUGGCGGCGUGCUUAACACAUGCAAGUCGAACGGAAAGGCCCUGCUUUUGUGGGGUGCUCGAGUGGCGAACGGGUGAGUAACACGUGAGUAACCUGCCCUUGACUUUGGGAUAACUUCAGGAAACUGGGGCUAAUACCGGAUAGGAGCUCCUGCUGCAUGGGGGGGGUUGGAAAGUUUCGGCGGUUGGGGAUGGACUCGCGGCUUAUCAGCUUGUUGGUGGGGUAGUGGCUUACCAAGGCUUUGACGGGUAGCCGGCCUGAGAGGGUGACCGGGCACAUGUGGCCUGAGAUACGGCCCAUACUCCUACGCGAGGCAGCAGUGUGGAAUAUUGCCCAAUGGUCGGAAGCCUGAUGCAGCAACGCCGCGUGCGGGAUGACGGCCUUCGGGUUGUAAACCGCUUUCGCCUGUGGCGAAGCGUGAGUGACGGUAAUGGGUAAAGAAGCACCGGCUAACUACGUG
rnacentral:rRNA from 1 species